GCGUUGAAAGCAUUUUGGUCUAAGGUGUUUGCACAGUUUACAGCAGGAAAUGUGGUUGGUGGAAAUUAUGAGCUGUUAAGAAUUUGGUGUUCAAGUUUUUGUAAGAGAGGAUGUUGGAGUUGCGACAGGCUCAAGCACUCGUUUUGUAUCGAACAACGCUCGUCUCGAGGGUUAUGCUAACAUAUCUCAUCAGCUGAUCUAGAUCUAUUAUACGUAUAAAUCCAUCAAAUGCACGGCUACAGAGGAAGCAAAGACAAGAUUUGAUUAGGAUGGGUUACUAUCAUGGAAAGUAGAAGGUUGAUUUGGAUAGUCAGGUUACAUUUGCAACCUUUGAGUGGGAAGUCUAUAGGUAAUGGGAGUAAUUGCGGCUCUCACAGAGGUAUUUUUGCAACACCACAGCUAGGAGAAAUAUGGAUCAAUAAAGAUCAAUUAUGGCGGUAUUGGCUGCAGAAAAUAACUGGAAACUAACAAAAAGGACAACUGCAACUACUGUGAAUGGUUCUAUAGCAGACAAUCAAGACUACCAAAUCAGACUGGAUUUCUAUUCAGGCACUGCAUGUUUUUGAUUCUGCUUGUAGAUGAUUUUUACUGCUUGAAAUGGUUUAUUUUGUGUGAUAUGGAUAUGUUUAGUCUAUACUCUUCAAUUUUACAAGCCUUUGUUGAAUGUGUCA